UGGAGGGCCCCCAGCCUGGCGAAACAAACCGCCUGCGGCUCUCCACGCCGGGCCGUGGGCGCCGGUCGGGUUCACAUCUCCCGGAUGGGUAAACUGAGUCCUGGGGACUCAGGCUCGGGCUCUAAUGCCGCCGCCGUAGAUAGCGGGCUCCGAGGCCACGCUGGGCCAGUGGAGGAGCGGUGGCCCUGACCCUGAAGUCCGGCUGACCCGGGCCGCCGCUUUCAACGAAUACCAGCUCUGCUGGUGGCUGGCUGUGUGACCUUGAGCUAGUUAGCUUCCCAUCUCUACCCCGGGGCCGCUUGCCCUAACGCAGUAGCCCUUGACCUGGCGAAUUGAAGUGAGUAAGAUAAGUUAGAGCUUGCUGAGCCUGCGGAACGGUGCGGGGAACCCAGUAAAGUGAAAUUGUCAAGACAUGAAUCCCAAAAGUUCUGUUAUCCCACAAGUCUGAGGCUACCAGCUUCACAAGGAAAAUCCUCCUUAUGUUCAUCUCAGUUUCUGUGGCCAAUAGACUCUUAGGGAGUUUACUCAUCACCCCGCCACUGGUGUUGUGGCUUUGUGUAAUUCCUUCUGUUUGUGUGUGGGUGGGGCCUGUGACUGACUUCUCACUGGUAUAAUAUAGCAAAGGUGACGGGAUGGAUGGGAUGGAUAUUCCUACGUCAGUGUGACAUGGGUACAUUACACAAAGUGUGGCACCUGUCUUGUUGAGUCUCUCUGUUCCUCCCUGUUGGUUCUGAAGAAGCAAGCAGCCGUGUGGUGGGCCACCUGUGUUGGGAGGUGCACAGAAUAGGGAACUGCAGCAUCUCCAGGAGCUGAGGGUGUCCUCUGACUGAUCGCCAAGAAGAAAUGGAAGCUCUCAGAUCUACAACGACAAGGAACUGGAUUCUGCCAACCACUUGAGUGAGCAUGGAAGCAGAUAUUUCCACAGCACACCUGUUGAAAAUUACUGCUCUGGGGACUUGAAUCCAGAUCUGUCUGACUCCAAGCCCAGGGCUUACUCUGUUAAGCUUCUCUACACGAAGUAAGCCUCUAAAGAGGCAAAGGAUCUCCUCAGUCCUCUUUUGCUCUCUGGAGAAGACUGCUAUUCCUGGUGGGACUGGCAUGCCCUGCCCCAGGCCUUGCCCCCUGAGAGUGAGUGUGGGGCCCACUGGCUGGCACUGGUUAGACUUGCAGCUGGUUUUCCGCUGGCACAGUGGUUCGGCCUGGAUGAGAAGGCAGUCCCCUGGGCUCUUAGUCCCAGACCUGGCAGUAACUCCAUGUGACCUGGAAAAAGUUACUCCCAACUUUGGGACUUGGCUUCUUCUCCUGAUAAUAUAAGAGCC